UACGAAGGGUGCAAACGUUAUUCGGAUUAAUUGGGCGUAAAGGGUACGCAGGCGGUGCAUUAAGUCAACUGUUAAAUCUCCCGGCCUAACUGGGAAUCAGCAGUAGAUACUGGCGCACUAGAGGAUGGAAGAGAGAAGUGGAAUUCUUGGAGUAGAGGUAAAAUUCGUAGAUCUCAAGAGGAACACCGAUGGCGAAGGCAGCUUCUUGGUCCAUAUCUGACGCUCAGGUACGAAAGCGUGGGGAGCAAACAGG
rnacentral:rRNA from 1 species